rnacentral:SRP_RNA from 1 species
UCCGGGCGCAGUGGCGCAUGCCUGUAGUACCAGCUACUCGGGAGGCUGAGACAGGAGGAUCACUUGAGUCCAGGAGUUCUGGGCUGUAGUGCGCUAUGCCGAUCGGGUGUCCACACUAAGUUCGGCAUCAAUAUGGUGACCUCCCGGGAGCGGGGGACUACCAUGUUGCCUAAGGAGGGGUGAACUGGCCCAGGUCGGAAACGGAGCAGGUCAAAACUCCCGUGCUGAUCUUUUCUGAUUGUAAAUUUGCUAUUAUUAUUUACUUGUUUUGAAUAUCUUGUUAUU